GGCAGGCACAGAGCGUUGGAUCGGAACUGUCCGAUCUACUUUAAACAAAAGAACGCCAUUCAAGCAAAAUUAGCUGUAACCAAACUCGACGUGACUGUUUCAGUUAUGAGCAGUUUUUCAACUACACUCACCCCGCAUGUGAUGUGCGAUGCCCCCAGUUACCCCAUGGAAACCGAAUAUGUUUUAUAAACAUCUCAAUCCAUUCCCUACCCAUAUGAAUCUACAAUGAGGAUGAUGAACUGGGCAAAAGCGGAAAUUCGAAACUCACUAGGGGACUUUUCUAAUUUUCUAUGCCAAAGAAUCGCCAAAGAAUUCCCUGGUUCUGAAAGAAUAAUUGCAAUCAUCAAAUCUUCAGAAGAGGUCUUCAGGCAGUAACGCCAUCAGCUACAUGGUGACCACACUUAAUUUACUGCGGUGGAAUUGUCACAGUAUUUACACGGAAGCAUCUAAAGAUAGCAACCUCGUUCUACCAAACACCGGGUCCGCCACCAGGAUUCAUGCUGAGCUAAAUAGAUGGAGUGUUCUCGAUCUGACCUUUGUGUUAGCCGCUUUCUCCACGGGGACCUCAUGGUCUAUAAUGAGAGAUUCUUUAGAUAGUGACCACUUUCCUAUUCAUUUACGACUGGAGGAAAUUAAAUUCCAGUGCAGGGAAAAACUUUUUCUCAGCAACGUGGAGUGAAUGUCCUUUGGGAAUUUCAUUAAGUCACACUCCUCACUACUCUUAUCAAAGAAGAAAAUGUCGAUAUCGUAUAUAAUUCGUUUCUUAAUUCUAUAUAUGACUUCCUUCUGGCAGCACGGGCGAAAGGUUCCAAGAGGUCUUCCACACCCGAAAGUUGACCUCCUGCAGCGCUGUGGUGGAACUAUGAGUGCACCAAACUGGUUGUCUCUCGCGGAGCAGCAGCUAAGUGCUUCCGGAAUAACCCCAACAACGAAAACCUAGAAGCAUGUAACAAACUUGAAAAGGAGGUUUAGAACUACCUCAGAAAUAUCAAACGGAAAAGCUUCCAAAAAUUCUCUUCUUCCUUUGGCCCACAGACGAAGUUGGACUAAAUCCAGGGUUUCAGGAAAGGAAAAUCUGUUAGCGACAAUGCCACUGUACUUACAACGGACAUCAGAUUAAAUCUUCUCAAGAAGGAGCACUUUGCUGGUGUAUUUUUCGAUAUUUAAGAGGCAUUUGACAAUGUCAUUCCGAAAAUUCUCAUUCAACAAAUAACUGCACUUGGCAUUCCAGACCGGAUCGUAAUUUUUAUGAAGCAUGUCAUCUGGCAAAGAGUGGUUCAUGGUAGGGCUCGGGGGGCUGACCUUAGCGUCAGGACAACGAACGUGGGUCUGCCCCAGGGUUCAGCCCGGAGUGCUCAUCUUUUCAACUUACUUAAAAUGCAUCUUUUAGAACACUGGCCAUAGCACAAGAAUCCUCACCAACACUGGUAAUGUGGUAAUUUAUUCCUCAACAGGACCUACAAGUGACCCUCAUGAAGUAUCAUCCUCAUUGGAAUUGAUGAGCACCUGGCUCCUUCGCAGGGGACUAAUGGUAAGCUCAAAGAAAACUCAAUUCUGCAUCUUUUCUAGGAGACCCCUCGGAGACAAGUCAAUACACAUCCAACUGAACGGUUCCUCAAUUUUGGAACUCA